rnacentral:lncRNA from 1 species
CAACAUGUCCGCCGCCGCCACCGCCACUCACCCUCACAUCUUAGUGUUCCCAUACCCAGCACAAGGCCACAUGCUUCCCCUCCUAGACCUCACCCACCAACUUGCCCUUAGAGGCCUAACCAUCACCAUCUUAGUCACCCCUAAAAACCUCCCUUUCCUUUCACCUCUCCUCUCUUCUCACCCUUCUUCCAUUACACCCCUCGUCUUCCCUUUCCCUUCUCACCCUCUCAUCCCACAAGGCGUUGAACAUGUUAAAGACCUUGGCAACAGUGGGAACCUCCCUGUAAUGGCCGCUUUAGGCAAGCUUCAUGACCCUUUACUCAACUGGUUCAACUCUCAGAGUAAUCCACCAGUUGCCAUCAUUUCCGAUUUCUUCCUCGGUUGGACUCAACGACUCGCGACUCAGUUACAAAUACCCAGACUCACUUUCUUCGCUUCAGGUGCUUUUGUGGUCUCUCUAUCUGAUUAUAUGUGGUCCAACAUUGAAAAACUGAAGUCUUUGAGUGAAAUAAAGCUUAGCCAUUUGCCUGGUUCACCUGUUUUCAAGCCAGAAAAUUUCCCAUCCUUGUUUAAACACUAUAAACAAUCAGAUCCUGAUUGCGAGUUUGUUAAGGAUGGGAUUUUAGCAAAUACAAAGAGUUGGGGUUGUGUUUUGAAUUCAUUUGAUGGUUUGGAAACCGAAUAUAUUCAAUGGUUGAAGACAUAUGUAGGUCAUAAUCGUGUUUAUAGUGUUGGACCUGUGAGUUUGAUAGGCAAUCGGGGAGAUUCGGAUCCGAGUUCGGGUUCGGACCGGGUCAUGACUUGGCUUGAUCAAUGCCCUGAUGGUUCCGUUGUUUAUGUUUGUUUUGGGAGUCAAAAGCUUUUGAGCAAAGAACAAGUGGAAGCUUUAGCUAAAGGGCUUGAAAAGAGUGGCACACGUUUUGUUUGGGUGGUGAAACCGGGUACGAACAAUGGGUUCGGAGAUGUACCCGAUGGGUUCGAGGAACGGGUUUCGGGUCAGGGUUUGGUUAUAAAAGAAUGGGCACCACAGGUGUUGAUAUUGAACCAUAAGGCAGUGGGUGGGUUUUUGAGUCAUUGUGGGUGGAACUCAGUUUUGGAAGGGAUAGUGGGUGGAGUUAUGAUAUUGGCUUGGCCUAUGGAGGCUGACCAAUUUGUGAAUGCUAAGCUUUUGGUUGAUGAAAUAGGUGUGGGUGUUAGGGUGUGUGAGGGUGCUGACACGGUUCCUAACUCGGAUGAAUUGGGUCGAGCCGUUGCUGAGGCAAUGACCGAGGGUGGAGGAAUGAAGACCAAGGCUAAAGAUCUCAAACAAAAAGCUUUGGCAGCAGUGAGUCAUGGGGAAAGCUCCAUGAAAGAUUUGGAUAGAAUUGUGGAAGAAUUGGGUCAACUUAGAGGGUGAUAAGUCUUUUUUAGGGUAAACUAUAUUGAAUGUUAUUAAAUUAUUACUAAUUAUAAAAUAGUCAUCGAGACAUUCGAAAGUUUUUAUUUAAAUUACUAAAUUGUUAAGUUUUUCUUUAAAAAAGUUCAUUUAACGAGUUCUAAGUGACGAUUUGAUAAUCGAUACGAUAGAUUAGUACUCAUCAUAUUGCUCAAGACUCUAGUACUUUUCAUUUUCAUUGGAUUUUUGCAAUCUUAUGUUAAACACUUAAAUCAACUCGUUACAAAUUUUCGUAUUUUGUGGCUUAAUAUUGUUUACCUUUUGGCUCGAUUUCAUUUUUUGCCAUCGUCGUUGGAUCUUUGCAAUCUUAUGUUAACACUUGCAUCAUCUUUCGCCACCAUCACUAGAAAAUUUAGAUGAUGAUAAUUUAUGUUGAGAUGAGAUUAUUUGACUUUUUAAUGUUGAUAUUUAAACUAACUUCGCGUAAACCACUAAAUUUAGAUUGCAUGAUUUUGGAUAUGGCUUGUCUUUUUAAGUCCUUAUUUUUAUUUACAUUGUUGGGAUUAGAGCUGAUUAUGGGCCGGGCCGGGCGAAGACCCGCUCAAAAAAUGGGAGGGUUUGAGUAAACAUAUAGGCCCGAAAAAUGGGUUUGGACAAAAAAAUGAGGCCUGUUUAAAAAAUGGGCCGAGCCUCGGGUAAGAGUUUUUUGGCCUGGGCCCGGCCUGACCCGGCCCAAAUUAUAUAUUAAUAUAUAUUUUUAUUUUAUUUUUAAUUAUUUUAAAUUUUUAAUAUAAUUAUUUUUUUAUUAUAUUGUCAAUUUGUGUAUUGUUUUAAGAAUUAUUUUAGUAAUUUUUUAUUUGUUUUAAUAUUUAUUUUUAUGUUUUUAAAUAUAUUUGAUUUAUUAUAUUUUUAAAUUUUUUUAUUUAAUGAAAUAAGCAAAAAAAAUUAAUAUGGGCCGGGUCGGGUAGGGUCUGGGCUUAGCAAUUUUAUUUCGGGCCGGACCGGGCCCGAGACUAGUAGAUGGGCCUAAAAAUUUUUUUGGGCCCAGCUCGACCCGGCCCAUGAUCACCUCUAGUUAGGAUAUUUCUAUUUAGAAAAUAAAUCUUGUUUAAGUUUAUUUUUUGGACUUAUAUUUUUAUUUAAAUCUUUUCAUUUUUAGGACGAGUUUUUAGGCUUGAUCGAAUAAUUUGACCCAUAGUUAAGUCUAGUAAGAACAUAUUAUGCUUACAAUACUAUUCAAAUUUAUUUAAUUAUAAAUUAUAUAUAAUUUAUAAUAAUUAAUCUUCAUGCACUACUUAAAAUAAUCAUACCCAUUCUACUUAAAAUUUUAUUAUUAGUUUUUAUAUUUUGCGGGUUUAACAUGUACUCUAAUUUGGUCAUUUUUAGUUUCUUUACUUUUUAAAUUUUAAAAUUUCGAUCAUCACCAAAUGACAAUUGGUAUAUUCAUUAAGUUGUGCUAUUUUUAAAAUUGCAUGUGGCCAACACAUUACUAUGUGUAAAACCAUGUUAGCUUAUUAAUUACACAAAUUAUUCAUUAAAAAUUUAAUUAAUGGAUUAAUGAUUUUUAUUUGAGUCAAGAUUGAAAUUUUGAAAAGUAUAAGGACUUAAAAUGAUUUAAUAGGAGAAUAUAUGGACGAAAUCAAUAACUAUACAUAUAAUACAUGACUAAUAAUUGAAUUUAAAUAAAUGAAUUUUAAUCUUUAUUGUUUGAGUUAGGAUUAAAAUUUAAAAAUUUAAAAAAUAAAAGAACUAAAAUUGAUCAAAUUAAAAUAUAAAGACUAAUAACAAAAUUUAACUAAAAAAUUCAUAUUGUUGACUUGUCGACCCCAUUGAUGAAGUCUUCGGUCUCCACUCUCCUGUCUUUACAACUCAGCUAUUUUAUCUUCUUAAUUCUAUCAUCACUGACACCAGCUGCCUACCUCUCUUCGUGUGUCGACCAUUGAGCCUUUAUCAACCAGCCACCAUGGCUGCCGAUGCCACCAGAUCCAACCCUCACCCUCACAUCUUGGUGUUCCCAUAUCCAGCUCAUGGCCACAUGCUUGCCCUCCUGGACCUCACUCACCAACUAGCUCUCCAUGGCCUAACCAUCACCAUCUUAGUCACCCCUAAAAACCUACCUUUCCUUUCUCCUCUGCUCUCUUCUCACCCUUCUUCCAUUACUUCCCUUGUUUUCCCUUUCCCUUCUCACCCUCUCAUCCCACCAGGUGUUGAACAUGUUAAAGACGUCGGCAACAGUGGGAACCGCCUUAUCAUGGCUGCUUUA